rnacentral:ncRNA from 1 species
AACCGAUUUGGUCCUGGUCCUCCUGUCAGCUACUCCUAGGGUGAUACAUGCAAACAAUUAUGAAAACGGUGAGAAAAAAUUUGACUAAACUACUAAAUAAAUCAAUAAAAAAGGUAUCAGGACUCAAAAACUUGAAACCCAAAACACCUAGGAAACCAAACUUCUCCCACACCUGCAGUACUUAACAUUAUACAAUAAGCAACAGCUUGAUAUAGCCAUAGGAUAAAUAAGCCGGUAAAUUAUGUGCCAGCCACCGCGGUUAUACAUAAGACCACAGCUGACAAAAAUCCGGUGUAAAGAUGAUAAAAUAAACCAAGAUUAACGCCUCCUCCAGCAGUAACAAGCUAACAGGACAUUAAAAACAAAAUCCAUCUUAUAAUAAAGACCAUAAAAAUCACCAAAGCUCAAAAAUAAACUGGGAUUAGAUACCCCACUAUAUGAGCCUUAAAAUACCAAAACACCAGAGAACUACGAACAAAAGUUUAAAACUCAAAGGACUUGGCGGUUUUCUAGACCUCCCUGGAGGAGCUUGCUAUCUAACCGAUAACCCCCGUAAGACCUCACCAACCUUUGCCACCCUACAGCCUGUAUACCAUCGUCGUCAGUAUACCCUUUAAAGAAAGUAUACAAAAUGAAACUAAAUUACUCACCGCAACGUCAGAUCGAGGUGCAGCUAAUAGGUUGGGGAUAAGUGAGCUACAAUAAUCAACCACUCUCAAACCACAAUAUGAACAACCUAAUGAAACCGUGGUUAGAAACAGGAUUCAGCAGUAACAGCCAAAAGAAAGUGGAUGUGAAAUUACACCCAGCUCUAGAAUGCGCACACAUCGCCCGUCACUCUCGUCCUCAGAGGAGAAAAGUCGUAACAAAGUAGGUGUAUUGGAAAAUGCACCUGGAACAAC